UUCUCAGUGUAGGUCUUUGUGAUAGCUACUGUUUUUGGCUGCUUAUUGAACUGUCAGAUAUUUUUCAGCAGUACAGAUACCAACAGGUCUUUUAAGAGCUCCCUUAAUCAGCUUGUAGGUCAGUUACCAUGACAACCUGAUCUCUCGUGGACACGGCGCUUCAUGGAGAGGAAGAUGAUCACCUGCCCUCAGGUGUGUGUGUGUGUGUGUGUGGUUACAUUUUGCCAGACCCCCACUGACAGCCCCUCUCUUCACAUUUAUGAUUUCCUCUCAUCUGAAAUGGAGAUUAUGUGCAUCUGCCCUUCAAUGAGGUCACUAAAUAGCUUUUAGCUGCAUGAAAACAUGCUUACAUAAAUGCCACAUAAAUACAACUCAAUCAUCUCCAUAUUUGAUUGAUGGCUCUCUUGUAGUUGUUAUGUUUAGCUGAUAUCCCCUUCUGUCUUACAAAACAGCAAUAUAAUAAUGAUUGUUUUAGACAAAUGAUUAUUUUGUGCAGUGUAAUUUGUAGAAAGUAU